CAACCAGACUCCUACGGGAGGCAGCAGUGGGGGAUAUUGGACAAUGGGGGGAACCCUGAUCCAGCGACGCCGCGUGAGUGAAGAAGUAUCUCGGUCUGUAAAGCUCUAUCAGCAGGGAAGAAGAAAUGACGGUACCUGAGUAAGAAGCCCCGGCUAACUACGUGCCAGCAGCCGCGGUAAUACGUAGGAGGCAAGCGUUAUCCGGAAUGACUGGGCGUAAAGGGUGCGUAGGUGGUUUGGCAAGUUGGUAGCGUAAUUCCGGGGCUCAACCUCGGCGCUACUACCAAAACUGCUGGACUUGAGUGCAGGAGGGGUGAAUGGAAUUCCUAGUGUAGCGGUGGAAUGCGUAGAUAUUAGGAAGAACACCAGCGGCGAAGGCGAUUCACUGGACUGUAACUGACACUGAGGCACGAAAGCGUGGGGAGCAAACAGGAUUAGAUACCCUCGUAC
rnacentral:rRNA from 1 species